UAUCAUGUAAACAGGAUUUAGGCUGCGCUCCUGGCGGGUUAUGAUUGGUUGAAAUGUUGAGGUCACAUCUGAUUGGUUAAAGAGCACGACUGACGCGGACUGACUCAAGUGGGAGAAGUAUCUUGCAUAUAUAUAUGGAUGGAUGUAUUUAAACAUACAUACAGUAUAUGUAUACAUGUGUGUGUGGCUGUUGUCAUCAUUUGUGUGUUAAUCGCCGUGUGUGUCUAAUAAUAUGUCACAUUCUAUCCCCCAAUUGCAUCUAUAUAAGUGGAGGCUUCCCUAAUGUGAUUGGUGCCAUAGACUGCACCCACAUUCCUAUCAAGGCCCCAUCAGGCCCCAAUGAAGGGGAUUUUGUGAAUCGAAAGGGUGUUCACAGUGUUAAUGUGCAGGUGAUUACGAUGGCGUUCUUAUUGGAGACAGGGGUUAUGCCUGCAGGCAGUAUUUCAUGACUCCAUUCCCAGACCCAGACCCAGGUCCACAAGCCCGAUACAAUGCAGCUCUAACUAGGACAAGGGCACGCAUUGAAAUGACCUUUGGGCA